rnacentral:rRNA from 1 species
UACGUAGGCAGCGAGCGUUGUUCGGAGUUACUGGGCGUAAAGGGUGUGUAGGCGGUUGUUUAAGUUUGGUGUGAAAUCUCCCGGCUCAACUGGGAGGAUGCGCCGAAUACUGAAUGACUAGAGUACGGGAGAGGAAAGUGGAAUUCCUGGUGUAGCGGUGAAAUGCGUAGAUAUCAGGAGGAACACCGGUGGUGUAGACGGCUUUCUGGACCGUAACUGACGCUGAAACACGAAAGCGUGGGUAGCAAACAGG